rnacentral:lncRNA from 1 species
CCAUUGCUUUAGCACUAUUUCAGCUACACUUAAAAAUGGUUUUUUUGUUUUUAUUUUUAUUUUUUGGUAUUGUGCAAUAAUUUUCAAGGAUUUUCUACUAAAAGUUGCAUCUCUACUUAUCUAUCAGAGUUCCAGAAGCAGAAACUAUAGCAUAAAACAGAACAGCUGGUGGUGUGGCACUCAUGCUGCAAACAGGAAGCAAUGAGCAGGAUAGCAGAGGCUACAAGGAAUGUUGGAGCAGAAGAUCUGGAUCUCUGAGUCUCAGUCACUGUAUUUACCUUGACUGCUUAUCUUGGGUUAUGCAUAUGAGAAGGCACAGAUGUUAAGGAGAAUGCCAUGUGAAGACAUAGACAGAGAUUGGAGUUAUGCUGCCAAGGAAUAUCUGGAGCCAUCAGAAGCUGGAAGAGGCAAGGAAAGAUUCUCCACUGGAGUCUUCUGAGGGAUGCCAACAGGCUGCUUAGUUGAUUCAAGAGAAGACUAUGAGUAGGGAGAAAAGUUAAAACCCAGUCCCACAGAUUAAUCCAAUAAAGAAUAGAAGAGAAAAUUUAAUUUCAAAUUUUGUUAAUCAGAAUUACUUGGGGACUUGUUAACACAGAAGUCACUGAGCCCCAAUUCCAGAGUUUCUGAAGUCUGGGGAAGGCUCAAGAAUCUGUGUUUCUAUUAAGUUCACCACUGAUGCUGAUGCUGCUGGUCUGAGUGAAAUACAUGGAGAACCACUGACAAUGACCUCAGAGAACAUGUGUACACUUCUGAAUAUGCUUGAGACCUUAAGAUGUCAAUAUGGUAGUGGUUUUAACUUGGACAGGGUAUCCAAAAUGUGAUAUAAGUGCUAAGUCUUACCCAUCCAGAAAGUAGAGUUGAGAUUGUUGAUAAGUUUCUAUCUCAGGUAAGUGUCACGUAAGGAACUAGGGUUGGACUGAAUGUGUAACAAUGAGGUGAGCGCAUCGACUCGAAGUCCAGGUGGGAGAUAUUGGGGAGGGAAGACAUGCUUGAAAUAAAUCCAGGGGUCUGAAAUGUUCUACUCCUUCUGAGUGGAGAUAAGUGUGGCGCACAAUCUUUUAAAUAUACAAAGGACAGAAACACUGCUAGAACAUAAAACUGAAU